rnacentral:rRNA from 1 species
GACGAACGCUGGCGGCGUGCUUAACACAUGCAAGUCGAACGGAAAGGCCCUGCUUUUGUGGGGUGCUCGAGUGGCGAACGGGUGAGUAACACGUGAGUAACCUGCCCUUGACUUUGGGAUAACUUCAGGAAACUGGGGCUAAUACCGGAUAGGAGCUCCUGCUGCAUGGUGGGGGUUGGAAAGUUUCGGCGGUUGGGGAUGGACUCGCGGCUUAUCAGCUUGUUGGUGGGGUAGUGGCUUACCAAGGCUUUGACGGGUAGCCGGCCUGAGAGGGUGACCGGCCACAUUGGGACUGAGACACGGCCCAGACUCCUACGGGAGGCAGCAGUGGGGAAUAUUGCACAAUGGGCGGAAGCCUGAUGCAGCAACGCCGCGUGCGGGAUGACGGCCUUCGGGUUGUAAACCGCUUUCGCCUGUGACGAAGCGUGAGUGACGGUAAUGGGUAAAGAAGCACCGGCUAACUACGUGCCAGCAGCCGCGGUGAUACGUAGGGUGCGAGCGUUGUCCGGAUUUAUUGGGCGUAAAGGGCUCGUAGGUGGUUGAUCGCGUCGGAAGUGUAAUCUUGGGGCUUAACCCUGAGCGUGCUUUCGAUACGGGUUGACUUGAGGAAAGGUAGGGGAGAAUGGAAUUCCUGGUGGAGCGGUGGAAUGCGCAGAUAUCAGGAGGAACACCAGUGGCGAAGGCGGUUCUCUGGGCCUUUCCUGACGCUGAGGAGCGAAAGCGUGGGGAGCGAACAGGCUUAGAUACCCUGGUAGUCCACGCUGUAAACGGUGGGUACUAGGUGUGGGGUCCAUUCCACGGGUUCCGUGCCGUAGCUAACGCUUUAAGUACCCCGCCUGGGGAGUACGGCCGCAAGGCUAAAACUCAAAGGAAUUGACGGGGCCCCGCACAAGCGGCGGAGCAUGCGGAUUAAUUCGAUGCAACGCGUAGAACCUUACCUGGGUUUGACAUGGAUCGGGAGUGCUCAGAGAUGGGUGUGCCUCUUUUGGGGUCGGUUCACAGGUGGUGCAUGCCUGUCGUCAGCUCGUGUUGUGAGAUGUUGGGUUAAGUCCCGCAACGAGCGCAACCCUUGUUCACUGUUGCCAGCACGUUAUGGUGGGGACUCAGUGGAGACCGCCGGGGUCAACUCGGAGGAAGGUGGGGAUGACGUCAAGUCCUCAUGCCCCUUAUGUCCAGGGCUUCACGCAUGCUACAAUGGCUGGUACAGAGAGUGGCGAGCCUGUGAGGGUGAGCGAAUCUCGGAAAGCCGGUCUCAGUUCGGAUUGGGGUCUGCAACUCGACCUCAUGAAGUCGGAGUCGCUAGUAAUCGCAGAUCAGCAACGCUGCGGUGAAUAAGUUCCCGGGGCU